rnacentral:rRNA from 1 species
GACAGAGGAUGCAAGCGUUAUCCAGAAUGAUUGGGCGUAAAGCGUCUGUAGGUGGCUUUUCAAGUCCGCCGUCAAAUCCCAGAGCUCAACCCUGGACAGGCGGUGGAAACUACCAAGCUGGAGUACGGUAGGAUUAGAGGGAAUUUCCGGUGGAGCGGUGAAAUGCAUUGAGAUCGGAAAGAACACCAACGGCGAAAGCACUCUGCUGGGUUGACACUGAUACUGAGACACGAAAGCUAGGGGAGCAAAU